GAUGAACGCUGGCGGCGUGCCUAAUACAUGCAAGUCGAGCGAACAGACGAGGAGCUUGCUCCUCUGACGUUAGCGGCGGACGGGUGAGUAACACGUGGAUAACCUACCUAUAAGACUGGGAUAACUUCGGGAAACCGGAGCUAAUACCGGAUAAUAUAUUGAACCGCAUGGUUCAAUAGUGAAAGACGGUUUUGCUGUCACUUAUAGAUGGAUCCGCGCCGCAUUAGCUAGUUGGUAAGGUAACGGCUUACCAAGGCAACGAUGCGUAGCCGACCUGAGAGGGUGGUGGGCAACGGUAGAACAGAAACACGGCCAAGCCUCCAAGGGGGGGAAGAAGGGGGAAACUUUCAGAAAGGGGGGAAGUCUGGACGGGACAACGCCGCGUGAGUAAUGAGGGUUUUAGGAUCUAAAAACUUUUUUAUUGGAAAAAAAAAAAUGUGAAAGUAAAUAGACGCUUUUUGACGUUCCCUACUCAAAAGCCCAGGGCAAACUCCGGG
rnacentral:rRNA from 1 species